rnacentral:miRNA from 1 species
CGAACCAUCACCUUCCAAACC